AGUGAACGCUGGCGGUAGGCCUAACACAUGCAAGUCGAACGGCAGCACAGGAGAGCUUGCUCUCUGGGUGGCGAGUGGCGGACGGGUGAGGAAUACAUCGGAAUCUACUUUUUCGUGGGGGAUAACGUAGGGAAACUUACGCUAAUACCGCAUACGACCUACGGGUGAAAGCAGGGGAUCUUCGGACCUUGCGCGAUUGAAUGAGCCGAUGUCGGAUUAGCUAGUUGGCGGGGUAAAGGCCCACCAAGGCGACGAUCCGUAGCUGGUCUGAGAGGAUGAUCAGCCACACUGGAACUGAGACACGGUCCAGACUCCUACGGGAGGCAGCAGUGGGGAAUAUUGGACAAUGGGCGCAAGCCUGAUCCAGCCAUACCGCGUGGGUGAAGAAGGCCUUCGGGUUGUAAAGCCCUUUUGUUGGGAAAGAGAUCCAGCUGGCUAAUACCCGGUUGGGAUGACGGUACCCAAAGAAUAAGCACCGGCUAACUUCGUGCCAGCCGCCGCGGUAAGAC
rnacentral:rRNA from 1 species